rnacentral:rRNA from 1 species
GUGCCAGCAGCCGCGGUAAUACGGAAGGGGCUAGCGUUGUUCGGAAUUACUGGGCGUAAAGCGCGCGUAGGCGGCUUUUCAAGUGAGGCGUGAAAGUCCUGGGCUCAACCUGGGGACGGCGCUUCAGACUGUCUGGCUAGAGUCCGGAAGAGGGUGGUGGAAUUCCGAGUGUAGAGGUGAAAUUCGUAGAUAUUCGGAGGAACACCGGUGGCGAAGGCGGCCACCUGGUCCGGUACUGACGCUCAAGUGCGAAAGCGUGGGGAGCAAACAGGAUUAGAUACCCUGGUAGUCC